AACCUACCUUUUACAGGAGUAUAGCUCCCCGAAAGGGGAAUUAACCCUCCAUAAUAUCAUUGGAUGGCAUCAUUUGAUGAUUAAAACUGAGGUGGUAAAGGAUGGGCAUGCGUCUGAUUAGUUAGUUGGCAGUGUAACGGACUACCAAGACGAUGAUCAGUAGGGGACCUGAGAGGGUGAUCCCCCACACUGGCACUGAGAUACGGGCCAGACUCCUACGGGAGGCAGCAGUAGGGAAUAUUGGACAAUGGGUGAGAGCCUGAUCCAGCCAUGCCGCGUGCAGGAAGAGGGCGUUAUGCGUUGUAAACUGCUUUUGCCAGGGGAUAAAACGGUUCUGCGGAACUAAUUGAAGGUACCUGGUGAAUAAGCCACGGCUAACUACGUGCCAGCAGCCGCGGUAAUACGUAGGUGGCAAGCGUUGUCCGGAUUUAUUGGGUUUAAAGGGUGCGUAGGCGGCCCUGUAAGUCAGUGCUGAAAUAUCCCGGCUUAACCGGGAGGGUGGCAUUGAUACUGCAGGGCUUGAGUACAGAUGAGGUAGGCGGAAUUGACGGUGUAGCGGUGAAAUGCAUAGAUAUCGUCAAGAACACCGAUAGCGAAGGCAGCUUACCAAGCUGUAACUGACGCUGAGGCACGAAAGUGUGGGGAUCAAACAGGAUUAGAUACCCUGGUAGUCCACACUGUAAACGUUGAUGACUCGAUGUUGGCGAUAUACAGCCAGCGUCCAAGAGCAAUCGUUAAGUCAUCCACCUGGGGAGUACGCCGGCAACGGUGAAACUCAAAGGAAUUGACGGGG
rnacentral:rRNA from 1 species